rnacentral:rRNA from 1 species
AUUGAACGCUGGCGGCAUGCUUUACACAUGCAAGUCGAACGGCAGCACGGGUGCUUGCACCUGGUGGCGAGUGGCGAACGGGUGAGUAAUGCAUCGGAACGUGCCCAUGAGUGGGGGAUAGCCCGGCGAAAGCCGGAUUAAUACCGCAUACGCCCUUAGGGGGAAAGCGGGGGAUCUUCGGACCUCGCGCUAUUGGAGCGGCCGAUGUCGGAUUAGCUAGUAGGUGAGGUAAAGGCUCACCUAGGCGACGAUCCGUAGCUGGUCUGAGAGGAUGAUCAGCCACACUGGGACUGAGACACGGCCCAGACUCCUACGGGAGGCAGCAGUGGGGAAUUUUGGACAAUGGGCGCAAGCCUGAUCCAGCCAUGCCGCGUGAGUGAAGAAGGCCUCGGUUGGUAAGACGUCUUUCUAGGUGGUAAGAAAGUAAGACGCUG